rnacentral:rRNA from 1 species
UGGGGAAUAUUGGACAAUGGGCGAAAGCCUGAUCCAGCCAUGCCGCGUGUGUGAAGAAGGUCUUCGGAUUGUAAAGCACUUUAAGUUGGGAGGAAGGGCAGUAAGCGAAUACCUUGCUGUUUUGACGUUACCGACAGAAUAAGCACCGGCUAACUCUGUGCCAGCAGCCGCGGUAAUACAGAGGGUGCAAGCGUUAAUCGGAAUUACUGGGCGUAAAGCGCGCGUAGGUGGUUCGUUAAGUUGAAUGUGAAAGCCCCGGGCUCAACCUGGGAACUGCAUCCAAACCUGGCGAGCUAGAGUAGGGCAGAGGGUGGUGGAAUUUCCUGUGUAGCGGAGAAAUGCGUAGAUAUAGGAAGGAACACCAGUGGCGAAGGCGACCACCUGGGCUCAUACUGACACUGAGGUGCGAAAGCGUGGGGAGCAAACAGG